rnacentral:rRNA from 1 species
UACGAAGGGGGCUAGCGUUGCUCGGAAUCACUGGGCGUAAAGGGCGCGUAGGCGGCCGAUUAAGUCGGGGGUGAAAGCCUGUGGCUCAACCACAGAAUUGCCUUCGAUACUGGUUGGCUUGAGACCGGAAGAGGACAGCGGAACUGCGAGUGUAGAGGUGAAAUUCGUAGAUAUUCGCAAGAACACCAGUGGCGAAGGCGGCUGUCUGGUCCGGUUCUGACGCUGAGGCGCGAAAGCGUGGGGAGCAACAGG